GCCCCCCGCCCCCGCCCCGCGCCCUAGGGGGCGGGCCCGGGUGCGCCGGCUGGGAGCUGCGCCCCGAUCCCGGCCUGGAGGCCAACUCCCGCUUCCCAGCCUCCUGGCUUGGAAAGGUUGAGGGAGCAAUGACAGGUGUCCUGAGGCUCAAAUAACUGGCUGAGGCGGCAGAAGAAGCUGGCCCGGUCGUCUUAGAGCCGUCCUGGACGCAGUAGCAGCGCUCACUCACUCGGGUUUGGCCACUACCAGCGGGUGUAGCCCCGGGGACCCUCUGGCAGAGGAACAGGAGAGCGGUGUCCCUGAUGGGGGCCUCCCGGUCAGGCUCCUCUGCCCUGCUUUGGAGGCAUGGAGCUGGCCCUGGUCGCCUUUUAGAACACCGCUUCACUGCGGCGGCUGCCGGCUUGGCACAGCUCCAGAGUCUCCGCUGUCCUGGCAGCCCUGGAGGAAGAACUGUGCCAGGUCCCACAGACCUAGAGCCUGGAUCCAAAGCCAGCUAACCACCAAGGACAGUCAAUUCUUCCUCUUCGAUUGAUGCCAGGUGGAGGCUGACGGAGUCAUUUCUGCCGUGGACGGGAAAUAAGAUUAGAGCCCAGGGUGACAUCCCGUCCCUCCCGGGUGUACAUACCAAAGCAAACAAACGUACUGUACUUUAAGAAACCUGGCCCCUGGGGCCAGACCAUGUAGUAACAGGUUCUGAGAGAUGAGUGGCCCCGGGACUCUCGUCAUUGUUUCUGUGUCUCAUUUCCUGUGAGGGCUUUGAAGACACCACCUUAACAUUUGCAAAGAAGAGCUCUGAAGACUCUCCGGGGACAGGCAUCCCUUCACCUGGAUUCUGCACUACCCUGAGGACAGGACGCCUUUGGUGGAACCUCCCCUAAGUUAUUGGGACGGUGGCAAUGCCUAGUGUGCCAACGCCUUCACCCUCACUCCGUGUCGGGUGCACAAAGCCCUGUCUCCUGCUUGCUUGGACUUUGGGGCCACAAAGGAUGAUCUCUGUCUGAAGUUGGGCAGGUCCUGAGAAUUUGAUCUUUCUGGUGACACAGAUGCCCGCAGCUGUUAGCUUAUUAGGAAAAACCAAAAGCACAAGACCCUGAUACCGGCACAUUUAUGUGCCAGGUAGACAGCAUUAGCUGACCGGUGGAUACCCGGAUACCCGAGCUGUAGUCAGCUACUUCCAGACUCCCAGCCUGAGUUCAAGAGUGGUUUGGACAACACCGGGAGAGCACACCCCACUUAUCUUGCCUUACAAGUACCGGGUUUUUAUCAAAAAAGAGCCCAAUAAGGUAUUUUUUAAAGAUUAGAAAGGAAAAAGAAUAGUAAUUCUUUUUAAGAUGAAAGAAGCAGCAGCAGUGUUAGCCGCAGCUGCCCGGAGCCUCAGGCUGGCAGGGAAAGAUCAGGGACACACAGUUUAGGGAUGGUUUUUGUGAAGGGGGCAUUUUGAAAUUCCAAACCAGAGACGGGUCAGGACCCCGGAGAGGACUCAAAGAGCCAUGAAUGAGAAGGGCGAGCACAGGGCUCAGUGUGGGUGGAUGUGGGGCCUUCAGCUCGUCUAAGACACCAGGGAACAGCGCAUCAGGACUUCCAGUAAACCAGGAGUGAAGCCAGAUGAGAACAGAAGAGGAAGCAGAAAAUGACAAAAGGUGGUUGCCUGCUCGCCCUCCAGCUCGCCUGAACAGGCCUGUAGUCCCAGCAUUUAGGAAAUGGAGAUACGAGGUUGGUAGCCAGCCUGGACUUCUAUGGUGAGACCUUAACUUAAAAAACAAACAAACAAAACCUUUUAGCGGUGCAGUGGUGACCCACGCCUUUAAUCCCAGCACUCGGGAGGCAGAGGCAGGGGAUCUCUGAGUUCCAGGCCAUCCUGGUCUACAAGUUGAGUUCCAGAACAGCAAGGACUACACAGAGAAACCUGGUGCCGGGAAACUUUCAGAGGAAACUAUGCUCAGGGUGCAGGCAUAUGCUUUUCCCGUACUUGGGAGGCUAAGGUGGGGGGGUUGAGGCUAGUCUGGGCAAAAUUCAAGACCCUGUCUCAAACAAAAGUUACAGGACCUAAAGUAACAUAGCUUAUGACUGAUAGAAUCAUUUUUUAAAAUUGUGUUGAAGUGCAUGUUUUUAACUCCUGUGUAUAAUCCCAGCACUUAGAAGGUAGAGAGGAGGAGCAGGAAGUUCAAGAUCAUCCUCAGCUGACAAGGUGAAUCUGAAGUC